GCAAGAGUCCUUGUCCUUACAAUAGUCACUGGAGGACCGAGUUCAAGGGAAAUGUCUUUUGUUGGAGUGUUUGAUGCACAAGAAUUCAGAAAUCCCCAGCAGUCCAGUCUGCAGUUACACUUGAACCAGGUCAACUCAGCCUUCUCUCUGUCAAGACUUCCUCCAUGUUUCUGGGGCGGGGGAAGAUGUGGCACUGGACAGUGGAGAAGUGAACUACAGCACAGGAAGGAAGCUUCAAGUGCUCAGACAGCGGGUACCACUUCUUCAGUCUCAUCCCCUCCAUGUCCCUGCUCCAUGACCAGUUCCAAGCCGUGUCAUCUCCUCCAUGUCCUGUGCUCCAUGGCCAGUUCCCAGCCGUGUCAUCUCCUCCAUGUCCCAUGACCAAUUCCCAGCCAUGUCAUUUCCUGCAUGCUCCAUGGCCAGUUCCCAACCAUGGGAGGCCUUGACAAUCCUUGGGAGAGUCUUGUAUUUCCAUGUUCACAAGAACUUUGCUGUGUUGCCCCCCUGUAGAAAAUAUGUCACCAUAUCUCUCCUGCCCAGUCUAGCCCAAAUCACUUUCAAAGCAUUGUUCAAACAUUAUGUCUCUUCUUACCACCUAUCAGCAAAUAUUCAGUAAAUCUUAGCAAUCGC